UUAUGUACUAGGUGAAUAUGAUGUUUGUGAUGUUACUUGUCCGGUGUGGAUAUACACUCAGAGUAACAUCACAAACAUCAUAUUCACCUGAG